rnacentral:lncRNA from 1 species
AGACUUAUAACGUUGGGUUUCCUCCCAACAAACUCUUUGUUUAACGUCGUUUAGAGCUCGACGGUCCACUGAUUAGCCCGGUCCAAAUAGAGACACGACACACACAUCACGAUUUACGUCGCCACUAUGGUAGACUUUGAGUCUUUGACCAUUUACAGUCCAACUCUCUUGUGACUUUGGAUCCUCGAUCACAAUGGCUCC